AUACGGAGGAUCCGAGCGUUAUCCGGAUUUAUUGGGUUUAAAGGGUGCGCAGGCGGCCAUUUAAGUCAGCGGUUAAAUCGUGGGGCUCAACCCCGUUCUGCCGUUGAUACUGGGUGGCUUGAUUGCGGUCGAGGUUGGCGGAAUUCGUUGCGUAGCGGUGAAAUGCAUAGAUAUGACGAAGAACACCGAUUGCGUAGGCAGCUGACCAGACCGCAAAUGACGCUCAUGCACGAAAGUGCGGGGAUCGAACAGGAUUAGAUACCCUGGUAGUCCGCACAGUAAACGAUGAAUACUUGUUUUCGGCGAUAUAAUGUCGGAGGCAAAGCGAAAGCGAUAAGUAUUCCACCUGGGGAGUACGCCGGCAACGGUGAAACUCAAAUGAAUUGGCGGGG
rnacentral:rRNA from 1 species